rnacentral:rRNA from 1 species
UACGGGGGGGGCAAGCGUUGUUCGGAAUUACUGGGCGUAAAGGGUUUGUAGGUGGCUUGUUAAGUCAGACGUGAAAUCCCUCAGCUUAACUGGGGAACUGCGUCUGAGACUGGUGAGCUUGAGUGCAGGAGAGGAACGCGGAAUUCCAGGUGUAGCGGUGAAAUGCGUAGAUAUCUGGAGGAACACCGGUGGCGAAGGCGGCGUUCUGGACUGCAACUGACACUGAUGAACGAAAGCGUGGGGAGCAAACAGG